AGCAGCCGCGGUAAUUCCAGCUCCAAUAGCGUAUAUUAAAGUUGUUGCAGUUAAAAAGCUCGUAGUUGAAUUUCGGGAUUUAUCAGUUGGUCGGGCUUAACUGUUCGUACUGAUUUGAUGGAUUCUUACCUUCUGAAUAACCAGCAUGCUAUUAAUUUAGUGCGUUGGGGAAGCAGAUCUAUUACCUUGAAAAAAUUAGAGUGCUUAAAGCGGGCUAGUGCUUGAAUAGAUUAGCAUGGAAUAAUAAAAUAGGACGGCAUGGUUCUAUUUUGUUGGUUUCUAGGAUCACCGUAAUGAUUAAUAGGGAUAGUUGGGGGCAUUAGUAUUCAAUUGUCAGAGGUGAAAUUCUUGGAUUUAUUGAAGACUAACUUCUGCGAAAGCAUUUGCCAAGGAUGUUUUCAUUAAUCAAGAACGAAAGUUAGGGGAUCGAAGACGAUCAGAUACCGUCGUAGUCUUAACCAUAAACUAUGCCGACUAGGAAUCGGACGAUGUUAAUUUUUUAAUGACUCGUUCGGCACCUUACG
rnacentral:rRNA from 1 species